CCAAUAGCGUAUAUUAAAGUUGUUGCAGUUAAAAAGCUCGUAGUUGAAUUUUAGGCCUGACCGGGCGGUCCGUCUUUGGCGAGUACUGUCUGUCGUCGGGUCUUCCUUCUGGUGAACCAAUAUGUCCUUUAUUGGGUGUGUUGGGGAGCCAGGACCAUUACCUUGAAAAAAUUAGAGUGUUUAAAGCAGGCUUUUGCUUGAAUAGAUUAGCAUGGAAUAAUAGAAUAGGACGUUGUGGUUCUAUUUUGUUGGUUUCUAGGACCACCGUAAUGAUUAAUAGGGAUAGUUGGGGGCAUUAGUAUUCAAUUGUCAGAGGUGAAAUUCUUGGAUUUAUUGAAGACUAACUAUUGCGAAAGCAUUUGCCAAGGAUGUUUUCAUUAAUCAAGAACGAAAGUUAGGGGAUCGAAGACGAUCAGAUACCGUCGUAGUCUUAACCAUAAACUAUGCCGACUAGGAAUCGGGCGACGUUAUUUUAAUGACUCGCUCGGCGCCUUAUG
rnacentral:rRNA from 1 species